rnacentral:rRNA from 1 species
UGGGGAAUAUUGGACAAUGGGCGCAAGCCUGAUCCAGCCACGCCGCGUGAGUGAUGAAGGCCUUCGGGUCGUAAAGCUCUGUGGGGAGGGACGAACCGCCGGAUGUUCAUAGCAUCCGGCAUGACGGUACCUCCUUAGCAAGCACCGGCUAACUUCGUGCCAGCAGCCGCGGUAAUACGAAGGGUGCAAACGUUGCUCGGAAUUAUUGGGCGUAAAGCGCACGUAGGCGGCAUUGCAAGUCGGAUGUGAAAUCCCUCGGCUCAACCAAGGAAGUGCAUCCGAAACUGCAGUGCUUGAGUACUUAAGAGGAUCGCGAAAUUCCCGGUGUAGAGGUGAAAUUCGUAGAUAUCGGGAGGAACACCAGUGGCGAAGGCGGCGAUCUGGGAAGAUACUGACGCUGAGGUGCGAAAGCGUGGGGAGCAAACAGG